rnacentral:rRNA from 1 species
UGGGGAAUUUUGGACAAUGGGCGCAAGCCUGAUCCAGCCAUGCCGCGUGCAGGAUGAAGGCCUUCGGGUUGUAAACUGCUUUUGUACGGAACGAAAAGGUGCCUUCUAAUAAAGGGCGCUCAUGACGGUACCGUAAGAAUAAGCACCGGCUAACUACGUGCCAGCAGCCGCGGUAAUACGUAGGGUGCGAGCGUUAAUCGGAAUUACUGGGCGUAAAGCGUGCGCAGGCGGUUUUGUAAGACAGAGGUGAAAUCCCCGGGCUCAGCCUGGGAACUGCCUUUGUGACUGCAAGGCUGGAGUGCGGCAGAGGGGGAUGGAAUUCCGCGUGUAGCAGUGAAAUGCGUAGAUAUGCGGAGGAACACCGAUGGCGAAGGCAAUCCCCUGGGCCUGCACUGACGCUCAUGCACGAAAGCGUGGGGAGCAAACA